GCGGAAGGUCAGCGCUGUCGCAUUCGCUCUUCGACACUCGAGCGAGCACGCAGUGGAACGAGAGCCGUGCCCGUCUUUGCGUUUAUUACUACUCUUGUCGCGAUCGCGACAAGCAAAAAGUGUCAUCAAAGGAUAUUAUAUACCACACAUCUAUUACGAUAAGAGCUUCUUAGCGUGCACGAUAAAAAAUUUAAAAAUACAUCGACGCCGCGACGACUCUAUAGAGAAGACGAUUUGCAUAAAGCGGUGAAACUGACUUCGAGGGAGCGGAGAUUCAUAAAGUUUGCAUCAGCGGCGUACGAUGGUCAACUGUACAUGACUCCGCAGGACUUUCUCGACAGUGUCGUCGACGACGAACCACGACCGAGACUAAAGAGGCGUGUGCUGACCGAUCAGGAGCUCGAAGUGAUGAGAAAUUCGACCGCCUUGCUACGCCACGGAAACACACACAUGUUCCGAAAUUUGCGAGACAAAGGUAAUCAAGAUAUACAAAGAUA